CCGUCAAAAUAGAAGAAGCAUAGACAAACUUUAUUAAAAGUCUUUGUGUACAUAUUCAAUGCAAAGACCUAUAGAAGCAAAGCAUGUUUAAUUUUGCCUUUCUUCUAUAAGUACUCUUCUUCUAUGUAGUAUUUCUUUUUCUCAUCAAUGUGUUAGGUAUCUUCCUUCUUCAAGCCAACUUCUUUGUGGCUUAUGUUUG
rnacentral:lncRNA from 1 species